rnacentral:rRNA from 1 species
UACGGGAGGAGCGAAUGUUAUCCUACUUGACUGGGUGUAAAGGGUCCUACGACGGUAAACUAAAUUGUUAGCAUAAGAUGGAAGCACAACUUUCAAAAAAUUUUCAAGACUGAUUUACUUGAGUUUAGGAGAAGAUAAUAGAAGUUUUCAUGUAGGGAUAAAAUCCGGUAAUAUGAAAGCGAAUACCAGCGGCGAAGGCGAUUAUCUAGCUUAAACUGACGUUCAAGGACGAAAGGGUAGGGAGCGAACAGGAUUAGAGACCCUGGUAGUCUACCCCCUAAAAUAUGGGUGCCGGCUUUUAAAGUUAUUUUUAGAGGCUCAGUUUACGCGUUAAGCGCCCCACCUGGGAACUACGAUCGCAAGAUUGAAACUCAAAGGAAUUGGCGGGGACCAAAGCAAGUGGUGGAGCAUGUGGUUUAAUGCGAUAAUCCGCGCAAAAACUUACCAGUUCUUGUAUUUUUUUUGAGAAAGAAAAACAAGUGUUGCAUGGCUGUCGAAAGCCCGUGUUUAAGAUAUUUGGUUUACUCCAUUAACGGGCGAAACCCUUGAUAUUAGUAUUUGUAAAAUUAUAGAUGAAUUAAACAAUACCUAAUAUGAUUAUUAAAUACGAAAGUAAUUGAAAAGGGACUAUGACAAGUCCUUAUGGCCUUUAUGAACUGGGCUACACAUGUGCUACAAUGGUUACUACAAAGAGAAGCAAUAAAGCGAUUUAAAGCAAAUCUCUAAAGGUAACCUUAGUUCAGAUUAUAGAUUGGAACUCAUCUAUAUGAAGCUGGAAUCACUAGUAAUCGUGAAUCAAAAGCGUCACGGUGAAUAAGCCUCUAGGUCU